AUCUAUGGUAAGAAUAAAUCUACGAUCUCGUCUGCUCUCGGAAGCUAAGCAAGGUUGGGCCUGGCCAGUAUUGGAUGGGAGACCACCUAGGAAGACCAGGUGCUGUAGGCA
rnacentral:rRNA from 1 species